UACGGAGGGUGCAAGCGUUGUUCGGAUUCAUUGGGCGUAAAGCGAGUGUAGGCGGUUUGACAAGUCGGAUGUGAAAUCCCGGGGCCCAACCCCGGAACUGCACCCGAUACUGUCUGGCUAGAGUCCCGGAGAGGGUGGCGGAAUUCCCGGUGUAGGGGUGAAAUCCGUAGAUAUCGGGAGGAACACCAGUGGCGAAGGCGGCCACCUGGACGGUGACUGACGCUGAGACUCGAAAGCGUGGGUAGCAUACAGC
rnacentral:rRNA from 1 species